GAUGAACGCUGGCGGCGUGCUUAACACAUGCAAGUCGAACGGUGAACACGGAGCUUGCUCUGUGGGAUCAGUGGCGAACGGGUGAGUAACACGUGAGCAACCUGCCCCUGACUCUGGGAUAAGCGCUGGAAACGGCGUCUAAUACUGGAUAUGUGACGUGACCGCAUGGUCUGCGUUUGGAAAGAUUUUUCGGUUGGGGAUGGGCUCGCGGCCUAUCAGCUUGUUGGUGAGGUAAUGGCUCACCAAGGCGUCGACGGGUAGCCGGCCUGAGAGGGUGACCGGCCACAAUGGGACUGAGACACGGCCCAGACUCCUACGGGAGGCAGCAGUGGGGAAUAUUGCACAAUGGGCGCAAGCCUGAUGCAGCAACGCCGCGUGAGGGAUGACGGCCUUCGGGUUGUAAACCUCUUUUAGCAGGGAAGAAGCGAAAGUGACGGUACCUGCAGAAAAAGCGCCGGCUAACUACGUG
rnacentral:rRNA from 1 species